AGAGUUUGAUCAUGGCUCAGAUUGAACGCUGGCGGCAGGCUUAACACAUGCAAGUCGAGCGGAGAUGAGGUGCUUGCACUUUAUCUUAGCGGCGGACGGGUGAGUAAUGCUUAGGAAUCUGCCUAUUAGUGGGGGACAACAUUCCGAAAGGAAUGCUAAUACCGCAUACGUCCUACGGGAGAAAGCAGGGGAUCUUCGGACCUUGCGCUAAUAGAUGAGCCUAAGUCGGAUUAGCUAGUUGGUGGGGUAAAGGCCUACCAAGGCGACGAUCUGUAGCGGGUCUGAGAGGAUGAUCCGCCACACUGGGACUGAGACACGGCCCAGACUCCUACGGGUGGCAGCAGUGGGGAAUAUUGGACAAUGGGGGGAACCCUGAUCCAGCCAUGCCGCGUGUGUGAAGAAGGCCUUAUGGUUGUAAAGCACUUUAAGCGAGGAGGAGGCUACUGAGACUAAUACUCUUGGAUAGUGGACGUUACUCGCAGAAUAAGCACCGGCUAACUCUGUGCCAGCAGCCGCGGUAAUACAGAGGGUGCGAGCGUUAAUCGGAUUUACUGGGCGUAAAGCGUGCGUAGGCGGCUUUUUAAGUCGGAUGUGAAAUCCCCGAGCUUAACUUGGGAAUUGCAUUCGAUACUGGGAAGCUAGAGUAUGGGAGAGGAUGGUAGAAUUCCAGGUGUAGCGGUGAAAUGCGUAGAGAUCUGGAGGAAUACCGAUGGCGAAGGCAGCCAUCUGGCCUAAUACUGACGCUGAGGUACGAAAGCAUGGGGAGCAAACAGGAUUAGAUACCCUGGUAGUCCAUGCCGUAAACGAUGUCUACUAGCCGUUGGGGCCUUUGAGGCUUUAGUGGCGCAGCUAACGCGAUAAGUAGACCGCCUGGGGAGUACGGUCGCAAGACUAAAACUCAAAUGAAUUGACGG
rnacentral:rRNA from 1 species